GAUGAACGCUGGCGGCGUGCCUAAUACAUGCAAGUCGAGCGAACGGACGAGAAGCUUGCUUUUCUGAUGUUAGCGGCGGACGGGUGAGUAACACGUGGAUAACCUACCUAUAAGACUGGGAUAACUUCGGGAAACCGGAGCUACUACCGGAUAAUAUUUUGAACCGCAUGGUUCAAAAGUGAAAGACGGUCUUGCUGUCACUUAUAGAUGGAUCCGCGCUGCAUUAGCUAGUUGGUAAGGUAACGGCUUACCAAGGCAACGAUGCAUAGCCGACCUGAGAGGGUGAUCGGCCACACUGGAACUGAGACACGGUCCAGACUCCUACGGGAGGCAGCAGUAGGGAAUCUUCCGCAAUGGGCGAAAGCCUGACGGAGCAACGCCGCGUGAGUGAUGAAGGUCUUCGGAUCGUAAAACUCUGUUAUUAGGGAAGAACAUAUGUGUAAGUAACUGUGCACAUCUUGACGGUACCUAAUCAGAAAGCCACGGCUAACUACGUG
rnacentral:rRNA from 1 species